rnacentral:rRNA from 1 species
UUAUUAUUUACAAUAAUGAUUAGGUUUUGUGCAAUUCGACCUAGCUUGAAUUUAACGAGUUGAUUACUUUAAUAUAUAUAUUUAUGUUGAAUUUAUUAGAAAUAACUUUUUUAUUAGUAGUGUUUAUUGAAAUUUUUAUGUGUGUGAUAGUUUAUAGUACUGUAAAGGAAUUAUAAAUUUUAAUUUUAAGCAAAUUUUAUUUAUUGUACCUUUUGUAUCAGGGUUUAUUAAUAUAAAGAUUAAUUAUUUAGUUUUCCCGAAAUUAGAAGAGAUAUAUUUUUAUGAUAGUUUCUGUUUUAUAAUAAUUAUUAAUUUAAAUAUAGGGGUUAUAUGCUAUUCAUUUUUAAAUAUCUGGUUAUCUAAUAAAUUAAUUUAAUUAAAAUAAUUAAAUGUUGAUUUAUUUAUAUUAUUUUUUGUAAUUUUAAUUAAUAAAGGAUAAGCUUUUUUGAUUUUUUAUAAUUUUAUUAAAAUUUAAUUUUUGUAGGAUUAGUAACUUUCAUCAUUAAUUUCGUUAUAGUUUAGUUUAAUUUUAUUUUUAUUUAUUAUUAAAAUUUAAUUUUUUAUUAAAAUGUUUUAUUUAAUCUUUUUUUAUUUAUAAUAAUGAUAAAAUUAGUAUUUUUUUAUAUAAAAUAUAGUAACUCGGCAAUUUUAGUUUUCACCUGUUUAUCAAAAACAUGUCUUUUUGUUUUUAUAUAAAGUCUAGUCUGCUCUAUGAUUAAUUUUAAAUGGCCGCAGUAUUUUAACUGUGCAAAGGUAGCAUGAUCAUUUGCUUCUUAAUUAGGGGCUUGUAUGAAUGGCUGGAUGAGAAACUAACUUUCUUUAUUUUAUUUUAAAUAAUUUUAUUUUUUAGUUAAAAAGCUAAAAUAUUUUUAUUAGACGAGAAGACC